CCGAGUUUACAACUCCCAAACCCCUGUGAACAUACCAAUUGUUGCCUCGGCGGAUCAGCCCGCUCCCGGUAAAACGGGACGGCCCGCCAGAGGACCCCUAAACUCUGUUUCUAUAUAUAACUUCUGAGUAAAACCAUAAAUAAAUCA
rnacentral:misc_RNA from 1 species